UCCCUCCCAUUGGUGGACCUUAUUUCAUUUUAUUGGGAGGCGUAACUUUCAGGUCACAGAGCAGUGAUAACUACCUGCCAGUGUCUCUUAGGAGUGAGGUAUCUGGAGUUCGGGGACCCCAACCUGUGACAAUGACAGCAGACGAAUUGGUUUUCUUUGUGAAUGGCAGAAAGGUGGUGGAGAAAAAUGCAGAUCCAGAGACAACCCUUUUGGCCUACCUGAGAAGAAAGUUGGGGCUGAGUGGAACCAAGCUCGGCUGUGGAGAGGGGGGCUGCGGGGCUUGCACAGUGAUGCUCUCCAAGUAUGAUCGUCUGCAGAACAAGAUCGUCCACUUUUCUGCCAAUGCCUGCCUGGCCCCCAUCUGCUCCUUGCACCAUGUUGCAGUGACAACUGUGGAAGGAAUAGGAAGCACCAAGACGAGGCUGCAUCCUGUGCAGGAGAGAAUUGCCAAAAGCCACGGCUCCCAGUGCGGGUUCUGCACCCCUGGCAUCGUCAUGAGUAUGUACACACUGCUCCGGAAUCAGCCCGAGCCCACCAUGGAGGAGAUUGAGAAUGCCUUCCAAGGAAAUCUGUGCCGCUGCACAGGCUACAGACCCAUCCUCCAGGGCUUCCGGACCUUCGCCAGGGAUGGUGGAUGCUGUGGAGGAGAUGGGAAUAAUCCAAAUUGCUGCAUGAACCAGAAGAAAGACCACUCAGUCAGCCUCUCGCCAUCUUUAUUCAAACCAGAGGAGUUCACGCCCCUGGAUCCAACCCAGGAGCCCAUUUUUCCCCCAGAGUUGCUGAGGCUGAAAGACACUCCUCGGAAGCAGCUGCGAUUUGAAGGGGAGCGUGUGACGUGGAUACAGGCCUCAACCCUCAAGGAGCUGCUGGACCUCAAGGCUCAGCACCCUGACGCCAAGCUGGUGGUGGGGAACACGGAGAUUGGCAUUGAGAUGAAGUUCAAGAAUAUGCUGUUUCCUAUGAUUGUCUGCCCAGCCUGGAUCCCUGAGCUGAAUUCGGUAGAACAUGGACCCGACGGUAUCUCCUUUGGAGCUGCUUGCCCCCUGAGCAUUGUGGAAAAAACCCUGGUGGAUGCUGUUGCUAAGCUUCCUGCCCAAAAGACAGAGGUGUUCAGAGGGGUCCUGGAGCAGCUGCGCUGGUUUGCUGGGAAGCAAGUCAAGUCUGUGGCGUCCGUUGGAGGGAACAUCAUCACUGCCAGCCCCAUCUCCGACCUCAACCCCGUGUUCAUGGCCAGUGGGGCCAAGCUGACACUUGUGUCCAGAGGCACCAGGAGAACUGUCCAGAUGGACCACACCUUCUUCCCUGGCUACAGAAAGACCCUGCUGAGCCCGGAGGAGAUACUGCUCUCCAUAGAGAUACCCUACAGCAGGGAGGGGGAGUAUUUCUCAGCAUUCAAGCAGGCCUCCCGGAGAGAAGAUGACAUUGCCAAGGUAACCAGUGGCAUGAGAGUUUUAUUCAAGCCAGGAACCACAGAGGUACAGGAGCUGGCCCUUUGCUAUGGUGGAAUGGCCAACAGAACCAUCUCAGCCCUCAAGACCACUCAGAGGCAGCUUUCCAAGCUCUGGCAGGAGGAGCUGCUGCAGGACGUGUGUGCAGGACUGGCAGAGGAGCUGCAUCUGCCUCCCGAUGCCCCUGGCGGCAUGGUGGACUUCCGGUGCACCCUCACCCUCAGCUUCUUCUUCAAGUUCUACCUGACAGUCCUUCAGAAGCUGGGCCAAGAGAACCUGGAAGACAAGUGUGGUAAACUGGACCCCACUUUCGCCAGUGCAACUUUACUGUUUCACAGAGACCCCCCAGCCGAUGUCCAGCUCUUCCAAGAGGUGCCCAAGGGUCAGUCUGAGGAGGACAUGGUGGGCCGGCCCCUGCCCCACCUGGCAGCGGACAUGCAGGCCUCUGGUGAGGCCGUGUACUGUGACGACAUUCCUCGCUACGGGAAUGAGCUGUCUCUCCGGCUGGUCACCAGCACCCGGGCCCACGCCAAGAUCAAGUCCAUAGAUACAUCAGAAGCUAAGAAGGUGCCAGGGUUUGUUUGUUUCAUUUCCGCUGAUGAUGUUCCUGGGAGUAACAUAACUGGAAUUUGUAAUGAUGAGACAGUCUUUGCGAAGGAUAAGGUUACUUGUGUUGGGCAUAUCAUUGGUGCUGUGGUUGCUGACACCCCGGAACACACACAGAGAGCAGCCCAAGGUGUGAAAAUCACCUAUGAAGAACUACCAGCCAUUAUCACAAUUGAGGAUGCUAUAAAGAACAACUCCUUUUAUGGACCUGAGCUGAAGAUCGAGAAAGGGGACCUAAAGAAGGGGUUUUCCGAAGCAGAUAAUGUUGUGUCAGGGGAGAUAUACAUCGGUGGCCAAGAGCACUUCUACCUGGAGACUCACUGCACCAUUGCUGUUCCAAAAGGCGAGGCAGGGGAGAUGGAGCUCUUUGUGUCUACACAGAACACCAUGAAGACCCAGAGCUUUGUUGCAAAAAUGUUGGGGGUUCCAGCAAACCGGAUUGUGGUUCGAGUGAAGAGAAUGGGAGGAGGCUUUGGAGGCAAGGAGACCCGGAGCACUGUGGUGUCCACGGCAGUGGCCCUGGCUGCAUAUAAGACCGGCCGCCCUGUGCGAUGCAUGCUGGACCGUGAUGAGGACAUGCUGAUAACUGGUGGCAGACAUCCCUUCCUGGCCAGAUACAAGGUUGGCUUCAUGAAGACUGGGAUGGUUGUGGCUCUUGAGGUGGAUCACUUCAGCAAUGUGGGGAACACCCAGGAUCUCUCUCAGAGUAUUAUGGAACGAGCUCUAUUCCACAUGGACAACUGCUAUAAAAUCCCCAACAUCCGGGGCACUGGGCGGCUGUGCAAAACCAACCUUCCCUCCAACACGGCCUUCCGGGGCUUUGGGGGGCCCCAGGGGAUGCUCAUUGCCGAGUGCUGGAUGAGUGAAGUUGCAGUGACCUGUGGGAUGCCUGCAGAGGAGGUGCGGAGAAAAAACCUGUACAAAGAAGGGGACCUGACACACUUCAACCAGAAGCUUGAGGGUUUCACCUUGCCCAGAUGCUGGGAAGAAUGCCUAGCAAGCUCUCAGUAUCAUGCUCGGAAGAGUGAGGUUGACAAGUUCAACAAGGAGAAUUGUUGGAAAAAGAGAGGAUUGUGCAUAAUUCCCACCAAGUUUGGAAUAAGCUUCACAGUUCCUUUUCUGAAUCAGGCAGGAGCCCUGCUUCAUGUGUACACAGAUGGCUCUGUGCUGCUGACCCACGGGGGGACUGAGAUGGGCCAAGGCCUUCAUACCAAAAUGGUCCAGGUGGCCAGUAGAGCUCUGAAAAUCCCCACCUCUAAGAUUUAUAUCAGCGAGACAAGCACUAACACUGUGCCCAACACCUCUCCCACGGCUGCCUCUGUCAGCGCUGACCUCAAUGGACAGGCCGUCUACGCGGCUUGUCAGACCAUCUUGAAAAGGCUGGAACCCUACAAGAAGAAGAAUCCCAGUGGCUCCUGGGAAGACUGGGUCACAGCUGCGUACAUGGACACAGUGAGCUUGUCUGCCACUGGGUUUUAUAGAACACCCAAUCUGGGCUACAGCUUUGAGACUAACUCAGGGAACGCCUUCCACUACUUCAGCUAUGGGGUGGCUUGCUCUGAAGUAGAAAUUGACUGCCUAACAGGAGAUCAUAAGAACCUCCGCACAGAUAUUGUCAUGGAUGUUGGCUCCAGUCUAAACCCUGCCAUUGAUAUUGGACAGGUGGAAGGGGCAUUUGUCCAAGGCCUUGGCCUCUUCACCCUAGAGGAGCUACACUAUUCCCCCGAGGGGAGCCUGCACACCCGUGGCCCUAGCACCUACAAGAUCCCGGCAUUUGGCAGCAUCCCCAUUGAGUUCAGGGUGUCCCUGCUCCGCGACUGCCCCAACAAGAAGGCCAUCUAUGCAUCGAAGGUCCACUUGAUGAUGUGGAGGCAGGACCACCUGCCUGAGCCCCUGCCCUGUGCCCUGUCUGUGUUCAGGCUGUUGGAGAGCCGCCCCUCUUCCUGGCUGCUUCUAUCUUCUUUGCCAUCAAAGAUGCCAUCCGUGCAGCUCGAGCUCAGCACACAGGUAAUAACGUGAAGGAACUCUUCCGGCUAGACAGCCCUGCCACCCCGGAGAAGAUCCGCAAUGCCUGCGUGGACAAGUUCACCACCCUGUGUGUCACUGGUGUACCAGAAAACUGCAAACCCUGGUCUGUGAGGGUCUAAAGAGAGAGUCCUCAGCAGAGUCUUCUUGUGCUGCCUUUGGGCUUCCAUGGAGCAGGAGGAACAUACCACAGAACAUGGAUCUAUUAAAGUCACAGGAUGACAGACCUGUGAUUUGUCAAGAUGGGAUUUGGAAGACAAGUGAAUGCAAUGGAAGAUUUUGAUCAAAAAUGUAAUUUGUAAACACAAUGAUAAGCAAAUUCAAAACUGUUAUGCCUAAAUGGUGAAUAUGCAAUUAGGAUCAUUUUCUGUCUGUUUUAAUCAUGUAUUUGGAAUAGGGUCGGGAAGGGUUUGUGCUAUUCCCCACUUACUGGACAGCCUGUAUAACCUCAAGUUCUGAUGGUGUCUGUCCUUUGAAGAGGAUUCCCACAAACCUCUAGAAGCUUAAACCAAAGUUACUUUAAAUCGUGUGCCUUCCUCUGAAAGCCUUGCCUUCAAACCAAUGAACAGCAAAGCAUAACCUUGAAUCUAUAUUCAAAUUUUGCAAUGAGGCAGUGGGGUAAGGUUAAAUCCUCUAACCAUCUUUGAAUCAUUGGAAAGAAUAAAGAAUGAAACAAAUUCAAGGUUAAUUGGAUCUAAUUUUGUGAAGCUGCAUAAAGCAAGAUUACUCUAUAAUACAAAAAUCCAACCAACUCAAUUAUUGAGCACGUACAAUGUUCUAGAUUUCUUUCCCUUCCUCUUUGAAGGGAAUAUUUGUAUUCCAAAUACUCUUUGAAUAUUUACAAAAAAAGAUUAUGUUUAAUCUUUACAUUUGAAGCCAAAGUAAUUUCCACCUAGAAAUGAUGCUAUCCUGGCAUGGUGGCUCACCCCUGUAAUCCCAGCACUUUGGGAGGCUAAGGCAGGAGAAUUGCUUGAGCCCAGCAGUUUGAGACCAGCCUGGGCAACAUAGAGCGCUCCUGUCUUUAAAAAAAAUUUUUUUAAUUAGUUAGUCUUGAUAGUGCAUGCCUGUAGUCCCAACUACUUGAAAGGCUGAGGUGGAGAGAUCAUUUGAGCUCAGGAGGUUGAGGCUGCAGUGAGCUAUGAUUGUGCCACUGCACUCCUGCCUGAGCAACUGAGCAAGAUCUUGUCUCUGAAGAAAAAAAAAAGAAAUAAAAAUGCUGCUAUCAAAAUCAAGCUCAACCAGAGGUAGAAGAGCCAAGAAGCCUGGGUUCUCAUCCUAGCUCUGUCUCUUCUGUCUCUAUCUUUGUGAUCUUGGACUGUCAAUUCCCCUUCCUGUGAUCCAUUUUACUGCAAACAUAAGGGUUGCAGUAAAGGGUUGUCUCACGUCUUCUGCUUUAAAAGCCUAUAAAUAUACGACCUGAAAACUCCAGUUACAUAAGGGAUCUGCAGCUAUCUAAGGCUUGGUUUUCUUACUGUCAUAUGAUACCUGGGUCUAAUGAACUCUGCUGAGAUCACCUCAAGUUUCUGCGGUUGGUAAAGAGAACAAGGGAAGAACAAACAUCCCUUUUAUUGCUCCAACAGGUGAUUUAAUCCCUACAUGGUGCUGGGUGGACAAUGUGUCACUGUCACAUGCCUUCACUGUAUAAAUCCAACCUUCUGCCAGAGAGAAUCUGUGGUUCUGGCCAUGGAGGGAGGAUAGUGGAAAUGAUAUAGUUGGACUGGUGCUUGAUGUCACUAAUAAAUGAAACUGUCAGCUGG